rnacentral:tRNA from 1 species
GGUCACAUGGUGUAAAGGUUAGCACUCUGGACUCUGAAUCCAGCGAUCCGAGCUCAAAUCUCGGUUCGACAU